rnacentral:tRNA from 1 species
GGCGCCAUAGCCAAGUGGUUACGGCGACAGAUUAGAAAUCUGUUGGGCUUUGCCCGCGUAGGUUCGAAUCCUGCUGGCGUCG